UCCCCUAGUAAUGGCGAAUGAAGAGGGAACAGCUCAAUUUUUAAAUCUCCGUUGCUUGCAAUGGCGAAUUGUAGUUUCGAGAAGUAUUUUCCCGGCGAACAGAACUUGCCUAAGUUGCUUGGAACAGCACGUCACAGAGGGUGACAACCCCGUACAUGGCAAGGUCUGACGCUUUCGAGGURCUUUCAAAGAGUCGGGUUGUUUGGGAAUGCAGCCCAAAAUGGGUGGUAAACUCCAUCUAAAGCUAAAUACAGGCACGAGACCGAUAGCGAACAAGUACCGUGAGGGAAAGAUGAAAAGGACUUUGAAAAGAGAGUUAAAGAGUACGUGAAACCGUUGAAAGGGAAGCGAAUGGAGUUAGCAAUUCGCCUUGCCAGAUUCAGUUUCUCGCGUCCCGCGACGUGUGUGCCCUCGAUCUUUGUAGACGAGGCGUGUGCGGACGCGGAACCGCGGGAGGCGCACUUCUGGCUGGUGAGCGUCAACGUCGGCCUUGGGCGAGCCACAAGAUCGCGAGGAAGGUGGACUUUCCUUCUGGAGAGUUGUUAUAGCCUUGCGAACGAAUGGCUCGUCGGAGGUCGUGGCAAAUCGUCGCGACGCGUGCCUACCUUCGUAAGAGGGUGGGCUGGUGUCCUGUUCUGUUSGUCCGAUUGUCGACCGUGGCGGACGGCACGCCUGUGCGCUCGAACCGCUUUCGGUCAACAGGUCGGUGAUCACACACAACGCGUCGAGGACGUUGACGACCAUACGGCUCUAUCCGACCCGUCUUGAAACACGGACCAAGGAGUCUAACAUGUGCGCAAGUCUCUGGGUGAUUGAAACCCGUGGGCAUAAUGAAAGUAAAGGCAGCUSCCGGCUGCUGAGGUGAGAAGUGGCGGCCCAGCGCCGGCACCGCAUCAUCGACCGACCUAUUCUACUCCUAGAAAGGUUUGAGUAAGAGCGUACCUGUUGGGACCCGAAAGAUGGUGAACUAUGCCUGAAUAGGGUGAAGCCAGCGGAAC
rnacentral:rRNA from 1 species